rnacentral:lncRNA from 1 species
GUAAUCCUUUAUUAUUAGUGACUUAAAGCUUUGUUAGUUAAUUCGCGAAUUAUUCGCGAAUUAUUGAAAAUCCGAAUUAAACGGUAGGUUUACAAGUUUUUUUUGAAAGAAAGGGAAUUACGAAUUUUUGGGCCAGUCGAAUAAUUCGCGAAUUGUUCUGAAAUUAUUAAAAAUCUAAAUAAAAAACUUAUAACUUUUAUGUUUAAAUAUAAAUUAUCUUAUAUUUUAUAUCUUAUAUAUUUUAUAUUUUAUAUCGAAUUUGUUUUUUAAGCCGAAUUUUUCAACGAAUUUAAAAAUUAGAAAACGAAGUUUAUACGUAUUAUAUCCGUACCGAAUUUUUGCCGUAUCCGAAUUAACUAACUAUGACUUAAAGUGGAUAUAAGAAGGAGAAAAUAUUUGGGACCAUG